rnacentral:rRNA from 1 species
GACGAACGCUGGCGGCGCGCUUAACACAUGCAAGUCGAACGGAAAGGCCUGCUUUCCCUUGUGGAUUGCGGGUACUCGAGUGGCGAACGGGUGAGUAACACGUGAGUGAUCUGCCCCCAACUUGGGUAUAAGCCUGGGAAACUGGGUCUAAUUCCCGAUAGGACUGCAGGGUGGUGCCUGUGGUGGAAAACGAUUUUCUAGUGGUUGGGGAUGAGCUCGCGGCCUAUCAGCUUGUUGGUGGGGUAAUGGCCUACCAAGGCGGCGACGGGUAGCCGGCCUGAGAGGGUGGACGGCCACAUUGGGACUGAGAUACGGCCCCGACUCCUACGGGAGGCAGCAGUGGGGAAUAUUGCACAAUGGGCGGAAGCCUGAUGCAGCGACGCCGCGUGGGGGAUGACGGCCUUCGGGUUGUAAACUCCUUUCGACCGCGAGGAAGCCACCUGGUUGGAAGGGUGGUGACGGUAGUGGUAAAAGAAGCACCGGCUAACUACGUG